rnacentral:rRNA from 1 species
GUCAUGGAACACCGAUUGCGAAGGCAGCCUACUAAGCCGUUACUGACGCUGAGGGACGAAAGUGUGGGGAGCGAACAGGAUUAGAUACCCUGGUAGUCCACACCGUAAACGAUGAUUACUCGGUAUUGGCUUUAUUGUCAGUGCCCAAGCGAAAGUGAUAAGUAAUCCACCUGGGGAGUACGGCCGCAAGGUUGAAACUCAAAGGAAUUGACGGGGGCCCGCACAAGCGGUGGAGCAUGUGGUUUAAUUCGAUGAUACGCGAGGAACCUUACCAGGGCUUAAAUGUAGAACGACCGGGGUGGAAACACCCCCUUUUUCGAACGGUCUACAAGGUGCUGCAUGGUUGUCGUCAGCUCGUGCUGUGAAGUGUCGGGUUAAGUCCCAUAACGAGCGCAACCCCUAUUUCUAGUUGCCAGCGGUUCGGCCGGGGACUCUAGAGAAACUGCCAGCGUAAGCUGUGAGGAAGGUGGGGACGACGUCAAAUCAUCACGGCCCUUACGUCCUGGGCCACACACGUGCUACAAUGGUGGGGACAACGAGUUGCCAACCCGCAAGGGUGAGCUAAUCUCUCAAACCCCAUCUCAGUUCGGAUCGGAGUCUGCAACUCGACUCCGUGAAGUUGGAAUCGCUAGUAAUCGCGCAUCAGCCAUGGCGCGGUGAAUACGUUCCCGGGCCUUGUACACACCGCCCGUCAAGCCAUGGAAUCUGGGGGCGCCUGAAGUCAGUAACCGCAAGGAGCUGCCUAGGGCGAAUCUGGUAACUAGGGCUAAGUCGUAACAAGGUAGCCGUA